rnacentral:rRNA from 1 species
CACGUAGGGUGCGAGCGUUGUCCGGAAUUAUUGGGCGUAAAGAGCUCGUAGGCGGUGUGUCGCGUCGGCCGUGAAAACCUGCAGCUUAACUGUGGGCUUGCGGUCGAUACGGGCAUCACUGGAGUUCGGCAGGGGAGACUGGAAUUCCUGGUGUAGCGGUGAAAUGCGCAGAUAUCAGGGAGGAACACCGGUGGGCGAAGGCGGUUCUCUGGGCAUGUCCU